rnacentral:lncRNA from 1 species
AAUGAUUGACAGGGAGCUAAGAUGGAGGUGGCUCUCUCUAUACUGACUGCCAGGUGUAAAGGGCGGAGCUUAUAACAAUGAUUGACAGGGAGCUAAGAUGGAGGUGGCUCUCUCUAUACUGACUGCCAGGUGUAAAGGGCGGAGCUUAUAACAAUGAUUGACAGGGAGCUAAGAUGGAGGUGUCUCUCUCUAUACUGACUGCCAGGUGUAAAGGGCGGAGCUUAUAACAAUGAUUGACAGGGAGCUAAGAUGGAGGCGGCUCUCUCUAUACUGACUGCCAGGUGUAAAGGGCGGAGCUUAUAACAAUGAUUGACAGGGAGCUAAGAUGGAGGUGGCUCUCUAUACUGACUGCCAGGUGUAAAGGGCGGAGCUUAUAACAAUGAUUGACAGGGAGCUAAGAUGGAGGCGGCUCUCUCUAUACUGACUGCCAGGUGUAAAGGGCGGAGCUUAUAACAAUGAUUGACAGGGAGCUAAGAUGGAGGCGGCUCUCUCUAUACUGACUGCCAGGUGUAAAGGGCGGAGCUUAUAACAAUGAUUGACAGGGAGCUAAGAUGGAGGUUGCUCUCUCUAUACUGACUGCCAGGUGUAAAGGGCGGAGCUUAUAACAAUGAUUGACAGGGAGCUAAGAUGGAG